GUAAAAGUCGUAACAAGGUUUCCGUAGGUAAGUUAAAACAGUUCCGUCCCCACACAACGGGGCGCACAGACGCUAACAUUUCUCUCAGGUGAACCUGCGGAAGGAUCAUUA
rnacentral:rRNA from 1 species